rnacentral:rRNA from 1 species
GAUGAACGCUGGCGGCGUGCCUAAUACAUGCAAGUCGAGCGAACAGACGAGGAGCUUGCUCCUCUGACGUUAGCGGCGGACGGGUGAGUAACACGUGGAUAACCUACCUAUAAGACUGGGAUAACUUCGGGAAACCGGAGCUAAUACCGGAUAAUAUAUUGAACCGCAUGGUUCAAUAGUGAAAGACGGUUUUGCUGUCACUUAUAGAUGGAUCCGCGCCGCAUUAGCUAGUUGGUAAGGUAACGGCUUACCAAGGCGACGAUGCGUAGCCGACCUGAGAGAGUGAUCGGCCACACUGGAACUGAGACACGGUCCAGACUCCUACGGGAGGCAGCAGUAGGGAAUCUUCCGCAAUGGGCGAAAGCCUGACGGAGCAACGCCGCGUGAGUGAUGAAGGUCUUCGGAUCGUAAAACUCUGUUAUUAGGGAAGAACAAAUGUGUAAGUAACUAUGCACGUCUUGACGGUACCUAAUCAGAAAGCCACGGCUAACUCCGUG